AACGAACGCUGGCGGCAUGCCUAACACAUGCAAGUCGAACGAGACCUUCGGGUCUAGUGGCGCACGGGUGCGUAACGCGUGGUAACCUGCCCUUAGGUUCGGAAUAACUCCCCGAAAGGUGUGCUAAUACCGGUUAAUGUCAUCGCACCAAAGAUUUAUCGCCUUUGGAUGGGCCCGCGUUGGAUUAGCUAGUUGGUAGGGUAAAAGCCUACCAAGGCGACGAUCCAUAGCUGGUCUGAGAGGAUGAUCAGCCACACUGGGACUGAGACACGGCCCAGACUCCUACGGGAGGCAGCAGUGGGGAAUAUUGGACAAUGGGCGAAAGCCUGAUCCAGCAAUGCCGCGUGAGUGAUGAAGGCCUUAGGGUUGUAAAGCUCUUUUACCCGGGAUGAUAAUGACAGUACCGGGAGAAUAAGCGCCGGCUAACUCCGUG
rnacentral:rRNA from 1 species